UACGGGGGGGGCAAGCGUUGUUCGGAAUUACUGGGCGUAAAGGGCGCGUAGGCGGCGCUCCAAGUUAGGGGUGAAAGCCCCGGGCUCAACCUGGGAAUUGCGCUUAAGACUGGAGUGCUCGAGUGCGGAAGAGGUGAGUGGAAUUCCCAGUGUAGAGGUGAAAUUCGUAGAUAUUGGGAAGAACACCAGUGGCGAAGGCGGCUCACUGGUCCGCAACUGACGCUGAGGCGCGAAAGCGUGGGGAGCAAACAGG
rnacentral:rRNA from 1 species